UGGUAGGUGGUCUAAGAGAGGGGGGAGGAGGAGCAGCGCCGGGCAGAGCGUCGGCGGCUACAGCCGGCGUCGCCGCAGGCUCUGUAAGCCGAGCGUGCGCGAAGGUGAACGAGCGCCGACGGAAACGUGCGAACAUAGAGGUUCGUGCUGCCGAACGAACGGAACGGUCAGGCAGUGCGGAGCCGUCUCCUGUAAACGCGACGGUCGUGGGUUUUACCGCUGUACAAGAAAUAGUGAAAUAGAUGUGCGCUCGCGCGUGUUUACGCGGUCCGAAAGAGAGAAAAAGACAGAGAAAUAAAGAAUAGGUGGAUGGGUAUAACAGUGGAGAGUGAGAACAAGAGAAAUAGAGAGAAAGAAAGAAAGGAAGGAAGGAAGGAAGGAAGGAAGGAAGAACGAAGGAGAACAAGAGAAAGAACAAGGGAGAAGGUGUGUGUGUGUGAGAGAGAGAGAGAGAGAGAGAGUGAGAGAGGGGUAGAAAAAAUCGAAACGCGUGUGUGCAUGAGGAUCGACGUGAUAAAGACAGAGGAGCGUUACGGAAUCCCUGAUAAACCUUUCCUAAACUUCUACUCAUUCGAAUUAUUCAAUUGGAAUUCGUGCACUGUUUGAGAACGGAGAAACAGAGAGAAACUACAGAUAGAAAUAUAGAAAGAAGAAAGAAGAAAGAAGAAAGAUAGAGAAAUAGAUAGAAAGAGGGAGUAAUAGCAGGAAGGAGAUCUUUGGAGUUGGCAGGAACAGUGCGAAGAGAUAUCGCAGCGUUGACGAAGCGCUCCGUCCGGGGCGUGGGUGCAUCGCGCCGCCGGUACGUCACACGGCGACCACCGACGGCCCAGGAAUACAUACGACACACGCUCGGUUGCUUCCUCGGAUUACUUGCUUACUUCUCUCCUCCUCAUCGUUGUCGUCGUCGUCGUCGUCAUCAUCGUCAUCAUCAUCAUCAUUGUUAACAUCGUCGUCGUCGUCAUUAACUUUUUUCUUUCAUUUCUACCUAUACUACUCCUUAGGCUUCUCCGUCCAAUUAAAUUCGUUCGCGAAUCGUUGUUUCGUUGUUUUUCGGCGUUGGCGGAAAAUUCGAACGAAAAUUCGGCGGCACACUGUUGUGCGAUCUUAACGUAAUUGUUAUCUCAUUGGUGUAAGUAAGUUUUAUUUUCCGCCGUUAUACAUCUAUUAUACGUGUUGGAUACAUAAUAUUUGAAGAUUAAAACGAAGAAAAAUAAAAAAAGGAAAGAGAAGAAGAGUGAAGAGAAUUCAAGAACGGAGAAGUGGAGUGCCAAUCUCGUUCGUUGCUCCGUCGGACGUGUACUCGAGUGUCAACUGCACACAUACAUCCACGUAAAGAAAGAGUGUGUGUGUGUGUGUGUGUUGUAUGUGAGUGAGUGAGAACGAGAACAAGAACGAGAGAGAGAAAGAGCAA